GAUCUCACUGGACAAACUACCAAUGGGUACCCAGUAAGCUCACAAACCAAGUGGCAGGUCUGGGCCAGGAGCCAGGACCAAGGAGGACAGGAUGAUGCCUGGUAUGAAAGUACCAAGGGAGAGUGCCAUAUGAAGAUGAAGGUGACCAUCUACAAGCUAAGGAGAGAUAAGCACCUGGCCGACUGAUACUCUGAUGUUGGCCUUCCAGCCUCCUAAGCACAAGAACAUGAUUAUGCGCUGCUGGGGACAGUCGGGCUGAGUUAUGUUGUCAUAGCAACCCUCAUAAACUGAUAAUGCCACCCUAUGUCUUGGCUCAGAGACCAUUUGCUUCAGGACAAGUGGCUAGGAAUCUCUUUCACUGUGUGCUUCCUUGUUCCCUAAGGUCAGCCUUUCCUACAUCUUGACUCUUCAGUGACAGUAAUCAGAACAAGAGGCCAGCAGAGACCUCCCCCACCAGAACUCCAGAGAUCAACCUAGGAGCAUCCUGGGUGGCCAGUUGUGUGUACAGGGAAGCAAGGAAGAUGCAGACCUAUCUCAGAGCAUCCAUGUGGCCCUGGAGGCAAUGUCUGCUCUAUCAGGAUGUGAUUGCCGAGCUUAGCGGCCAGGAGAGAGGCCUCAGCUUCACUGGGGUUUCUGUAAAGUAAAUCUGGAGAUUUGACCCUUUCCUUGAAGCAGAGAGGCAAGAUAAAUUCUACAUCACUUUGGAGGAGCAGAAGCCCCUGGGAAAAGCAGCUACCUGGACCAGGAAGAGAAGUUGGUCGCACUGGUGCAGAAGAAAUUCGGUGAUAAAGUUGAUGGUAUAAAGGAUUUACUAAUAAUGGUCUUGCCUGGGAGAUUCUAAGUCACACAAGUGGAAUUUAGGUCUAGGAGCAUUGCUUCCACCACACCCCAAGGGUGAGUAGUCUGAUGAUCAGACGUGUUAGAGAUCAGGGGAAUUUUCGAUGCUGGGAUGGAAACUUUUGUUUACCAGGAUUGGCCAGCCAUUAGGCCCAUCCCCCUAUCAAAGAAGAUACCUCAAUGGAACAGCACAGGAUCACAACCACUGUUACAGCCUGACCUGCCAUAAAACCCCCAGUUCUUGGGAAAACCAUAAUUCUGCCAGGUAGGCAAGAUGACC